rnacentral:lncRNA from 1 species
GAGGUGAGCGGAGAGUGGGAGUCUGACUCUUCUCUUGAGCUGAUUGUCUCGACUACUUUUAUCAGUGGUAAGUGAACUGCUUCAUUCUUGUCCUACUUGAGUUUUUUAUUGAGUUGCUCCAUGACUUUAAUUUAUUGAUUGUCUUUCUUGCUUUACGUAGAUUCGAAGUUUGGCUCAACCCUCAGAACCUCGGUAGAUAUGAAGAAAGUGCACGUCGCUUUGGGCAUUCCUGUUGAGUAUC